CUGGCGGCGUGCUUAAUACAUGCAAGUCGAGCGAGAAAGCAUCCUUCGGGGUGUGAGUAGAGCGGCGAACGGGUGAGUAACACGUAAGCAACCUGCCCUCAAGUUUGGGAUAACCUUGCUAACGCGGGGCUAAUACCGGAUGUGGUCACGGAGUCGCAUGGCUUUGUGACUAAAGGUGACCUCUACUUGUAAGUUACUGCUUGAGGAUGGGCUUGCGGCCCAUUAGCUUGUUGGUGGGGUAACGGCCUACCAAGGCGGCGAUGGGUAGCCGACCUGAGAGGGUGAUCGGCCACAUUGGGACUGAGACACGGCCCAGACUCCUACGGGAGGCAGCAGUAGGGAAUUUUGCGCAAUGGACGCAAGUCUGACGCAGCAACGCCGCGUGAGGGAUGAAUGCCUUCGGGUUGUAAACCUCUGUUGAGUGGGAAGAAACGUGGAAGGGUUAAUAUCCCUUUUGCCUGACGGUACCACUCGAGGAAGCCCCGGCUAACUACGUGCCAGCAGCCGCGGUAAUACGUAGGGGGCAAGCGUUGUUCGGAAUCACUGGGCGUAAAGGGAGCGUAGGCGGGGCGGUAAGUCAGAAGUCAAAUCCACAGGCUCAACCUGUGGCCGGCUUUUGAUACUGUCGCUCUUGAGUAUGGGAGAGGGUGAUGGAAUUCCAGGUGUAGCGGUGGAAUGCGUAGAUAUCUGGAAGAACACCGGUUGCGAAGGCGGUCACCUGGCCCAAUACUGACGCUGAGGCUCGAAAGCUAGGGGAGCAAACAGGAUUAGAUACCCUGGUAGUCCUAGCCGUAAACGAUGGACACUAGUUGCUGGGAGAGUCAAUCCUUUCAGUGACGAAGCUAACGCAUUAAGUGUCCCGCCUGGGGAGUACGCUCGCAAGGGUGAAACUCAAAGGAAUUGACGGGGGCCCGCACAAGCGGUGGAGCAUGUGCUUUAAUUCGAUGCAACGCGAAGAACCUUACCUGGGUUUGACAUGGGAGUGAAACUCUCCAGAGAUGGGGAGCCUUCCUUCGGGAACACUCUACACAGGUGCUGCAUGGUUGUCGUCAGCUCGUGUCGUGAGAUGUUGGGUUAAGUCC
rnacentral:rRNA from 1 species